rnacentral:rRNA from 1 species
GACGAACGCUGGCGGCGUGCUUAACACAUGCAAGUCGAACGGAAAGGCCCUGCUUUUGUGGGGUGCUCGAGUGGCGAACGGGUGAGUAACACGUGAGUAACCUGCCCUUGACUUUGGGAUAACUUCAGGAAACUGGGGCUAAUACCGGAUAGGAGCUCCCGCUGCGUGGUGGGGGUUGGAAAGUUUCGGCGGUUGGGGAUGGACUCGCGGCUUAUCAGCUUGUUGGUGGGGUAGUGGCUUACCAAGGCUGUGACGGGUAGCCGGCCUGAGAGGGUGACCGGCCACAUUGGGACUGAGGUACGGCCCAGACUGCUACGGGAGGCAGCAGUGGGGAAUAUUGCACAGUGGGCGGAAGCCUGAUGCAGCAGCGCCGCGUGCGGGAUGACGGCCUUCGGGUUGUAAACCGCUUUCGCCUGUGACGAAGCGUGAGUGACGGUAAUGGGUAAAGAAGCACCGGCUAACUACGUG